UACGGGGGGGGCAAGCGUUGUUCGGAAUUACUGGGCGUAAAGGGCUCGUAGGCGGCCAACUAAGUCAGACGUGAAAUCCCUCGGCUUAACCGGGGAACUGCGUCUGAUACUGGAUGGCUCGAGUUUGGGAGAGGGAUGCGGAAUUCCAGGUGUAGCGGUGAAAUGCGUAGAUAUCUGGAGGAACACCGGUGGCGAAGGCGGCAUCCUGGACCGGUAUUGACGCUGAGGCGCGAAAGCCAGGGGAGCAAACGGG
rnacentral:rRNA from 1 species